AAAGUGGGGAGUUUCAGGGUACCCUCAUGUAAAUAACCCAGCCUGCACACCGCUCCCUUGCCCACUGCUCAGGUCACACCUGGGGCUCUGGCAAAGCUGAGCUCGACUCGGGAGAUUUUCCUGUCGCCAGGGACUGAUGACUAGGCGAGAGGCACCCGAGCGAGCCACUAGUUGCCCACAGGAACCUAUGUAAAUCGAGCUCUCGAGCGGCCGAGUUGAAUGAAGUUCUGACUGCGUUUGCUCUAAUGGUUAUGGCUUCUCCAAUGUGAGUUAACAGCGCGGGUGCGCAGCUAGGUCGGCAUGGCGCACCGCGAAGUGUGGAGCCGCGGGCAAAGGCAGGGAGGGGUGCCUCCGCAGCGGUUUGACGCUCCGCGUCCGCUCGGUGCUUCUUCCCCGGAGUCGCUUCCGCAUCAUCCGGGGGCUCCCGGGCCAUCAGGGUGCCCGGGUGAGAGCGACGGGGAAGCGGAGCGGCGCUUGAGAAGCCGGAGAUGGGAUUGAGCUCCGCGAGAGGGGGCUCUCCCAGGAAGCCCCGCGGUUAGCACCCGCGCUUCCCGCUGGAGAGGUCACGUGUUGGCGGAAAGUAACUUAGGAGGGAUAGAAUGAACUUCAAGGAGAAGAGAAAAAAGCAAAAGAAAACAAACCACCUCCCCACCCUCUCACCCGCACCUCCCUCGGCCCCCCCACCCCCACCCCAUGUGUAAAACAAAGGUAAAGGAGGAAGAGAUGGGAGGGGGCGCGGCUCUCUGCUGGAGACCUGCGGAGAGCUCGCGAAAUUUCAGGCAACGAGCUGUAUAACCCGGUCAUCCGCAGCGUCCCCCGGGCCUAGGGAGGC